rnacentral:rRNA from 1 species
AUUGAACGCUGGCGGCAUGCCUUACACAUGCAAGUCGAACGGUAACAGGUCUUCGGAUGCUGACGAGUGGCGAACGGGUGAGUAAUACAUCGGAACGUGCCUAGUAGUGGGGGAUAACUACUCGAAAGAGUGGCUAAUACCGCAUGAGAUCUACGGAUGAAAGCAGGGGAUCGCAAGAACUUGUGCUACUAGAGCUGCCGAUGGCAGAUUAGGUAGUUGGUGGGCUAAAAGCUUACCAAGCCGACGAUCUGUAGCUGUUCUGAGAGGACGAUCAGCCACACUGGGACUGAGACACGCCCCAGACUCCUACGGGAGGCAGCAGUGGGGAAUUUUGGACAAUGGGCGCAAGCCUGAUCCAGCAAUGCCGCGUGCAGGAUGAAGGCCUUCGGGUUGUAAACUGCUUUUGUACGGAACGAAAAGCCCUGGGUUAAUACCCUGGGGUCAUGACGGUACCGUAAGAAUAAGCACCGGCUAACUACGUGCCAGCCGCCGCCGUAACAC